UGGGGAAUAUUGCACAAUGGGGGAAACCCGUGAUGCAGCAACGCCGCGUGAAGGAAGACGGUUUUCGGAUUGUAAACUUCCUUUCUUAGUGAAGAAGCAAGUGACGGUAGCUAAGGAAUAAGCAUCGGCUAACUACGUGCCAGCAGCCGCGGUAAUACGUAGGAUGCGAGCGUUAUCCGGAAUUACUGGGUGUAAAGGGAGCGCAGGCGGGACUGCAAGUUGGAUGUGAAAUACCGCAGCUUAACUGCGGAGCUGCAUCCAAAACUGUAGUUCUUGAGUGGAGUAGAGGCAAGCGGAAUUCCGAGUGUAGCGGUGAAAUGCGUAGAUAUUCGGAGGAACACCAGUGGCGAAGGCGGCUUGCUGGGCUCUAACUGACGCUGAGGCUCGAAAGUGUGGGGAGCAAACAGGAUUAGAUACC
rnacentral:rRNA from 1 species